rnacentral:rRNA from 1 species
AUUGAACGCUGGCGGCAGGCCUAACACAUGCAAGUCGAACGAGUGGCGGACGGGUGAGUAAUGCCUGCGCAACUGCCCCAUGGAGGGGGACAACUACUGGAAACGGUAGCUAAUAACGCAUACCAUCAGAUGUGACAAGAUGGGAUUAGCUUGUUGGUGUGGUAAGGGCUCACCAAGGCGACGAUCCCUAGCUGGUCUGAGAGGAUGACCAGCCCACCUUGAACUGAUACACGGUCCAGAUGACUACGGGAGGCAGCAGGGGGGAAUAGUGCACUAUGUGCGCAGGCCUAGUGCAGCCAUGCCGAGUGUAUGAAGGAGGCCUGCUGAUAGGAAGAUACAAUCGGCCGGGGGGCGUUACCCUCAGAAGAAUGGCCGGCUAACUCCGCGCCAGCCGCCGCGGUAAUUC